GUGGGGAAUUUUGGACAAUGGGGGCAACCCUGAUCCAGCAAUGCCGCGUGCAGGAAGAAGGCCUUCGGGUUGUAAACUGCUUUUGUACGGAACGAAACGGUCUGGGUUAAUACCCUGGGCUAAUGACGGUACCGUAAGAAUAAGCACCGGCUAACUACGUGCCAGCAGCCGCGGUAAUACGUAGGGUGCGAGCGUUAAUCGGAAUUACUGGGCGUAAAGCGUGCGCAGGCGGUUUUGUAAGACAGGCGUGAAAUCCCCGGGCUCAACCUGGGAAUGGCGCUUGUGACUGCAAAGCUGGAGUGCGGCAGAGGGGGAUGGAAUUCCGCGUGUAGCAGUGAAAUGCGUAGAUAUGCGGAGGAACACCGAUGGCGAAGGCAAUCCCCUGGGCCUGCACUGACGCUCAUGCACGAAAGCGUGGGGAGCAAACAGGAUUAGAAACCCUAGUAGUCC
rnacentral:rRNA from 1 species